AAACAUAUCAAUAAGCGGAGGAAAAGAAGACUAACAAGCAUUCCCCUAGUAACGGCGAGCGAAGCGGGAAAGAGCUCAAAUUUGAAAGCUGGCACCUCCGGUGUCCGCGUUGUAAUCUCGAGACGUGUUUUCCGUGCGGCUCUAUGGACAAGUCCCUUGGAACAGGGCAUCGUAGAGGGUGAAAAUCCCGUACUUGCCAUGGAUGUACCGUGCUUUGUGAUACACGCUCUAAGAGUCGAGUUGUUUGGGAUUGCAGCUCAAAAUGGGUGGUAGACUCCAUCUAAAGCUAAAUAUCGGGGAGAGACCGAUAGCGAACAAGUACCGUGAGGGAAAGAUGAAAAGCACUUUGGAAAGAGAGUUAAAAGUACGUGAAAUUGUCGAAAGGGAAGCGCUUGAAGUCAGCCAUGCUGCGCGGACUCAGCCCGGCUGGAUGCCUGGUGUAUUUCUCAGUAGCAAGUCAGCAUGGAUUUGAGUCGCCGGAGAAGGGUGGGAGGAAUGUAGCACCCACGGGUGUGUUAAGCCUCCUACUGGAUACGGCGAUUUGGAUCCAGGAACGCAGUGUGCCUCUGGCGGGUCUUCGGACACCUUCACACUUAGGAUGCUGGCGUAAUAGGCUUUAAGCGGCCCGUCUUGAAACACCGGGACCA
rnacentral:rRNA from 1 species